GAGGGUAUAGCUCAGCGGUAGAGUGUGUGCUUAGCAUGCAUUAGGUCCUGGGUCCAAUCCUCAGCACCUCCA
rnacentral:tRNA from 1 species